CCUACGGGAGGCAGCAGUGAGGAAUAUUGGUCAAUGGUCGGGAGACUGAACCAGCCAAGCCGCGUGAGGGAGGAAGGUACAGAGUAUCGUAAACCUCUUUUGUCAGGGAACAAAGACUGGGACGCGUCCCCGGAUGAGUGUACCUGAAGAAAAAGCAUCGGCUAACUCCGUGCCAGCAGCCGCGGUAAUACGGAGGAUGCGAGCGGUAUCCGGAUUUAUUGGGUUUAAAGGGUGCGCAGGCGGUCUGUUAAGUCAGCGGUCAAAUGCCGGGGCUCAACCCCGGCCCGGCCUUUAAAACUGGCAGACUUGAGUUGGAGAGAAGUAGGCGGAAUGCGCGGUGUAGCGGUGAAAUGCAUAGAGA
rnacentral:rRNA from 1 species